AUUUGAAAAACUAUUCGUACACCAUUUUAUAAUUUUAUUUUGCUUCGCGUUGUGUUUUAUAAUGUUUGCAGAUCAAGCUCAUAAAACUUGUGGAUUAUAACUAUAAAAGUACACUUCACAGCACGAAGGCCACACAUGAUUAUUCGAUGCAUUUAAGCUCCGUCUGGGAUUUGUGAUUUAUAUUUUUCAUUUGCGUAAUUACAAAGCGGUACAUCAUUGGCGCAAUUAAACUGCAGUAAACUUGGACAGACGGCGGAGAGAACAAGACCUUCUGCCACUUGGCUGGCUCUCGUAUAAUUUAUAUUAAGUCGUUCUGAGGAAUGCACCGCCGAGUCGAGUGCUGCAGGAAGGCUGCGGGCUGGCCCAUAAACCCACAUUUCUGACGGGGCAGCCCUCGCGGCUCUCUAUGCGCAUACUACGCGGAGAGGAGCGGACCUGGAACUGGAACAGGAGUCGUAAAACACAGCUAUGGGCGACAGCGUCGAAGGAUUAAAAAAUGACUGCGUGACAAAGCAUUUUAUAAUCGUCAUCUGAUUCACUUAAAAACACAUUCAUCGCCGCCACCGCUGGCUCGAUGUCGGAGUUCAGACCCGCCGUGAAGCCGACUAGCGAUCCGAAUUUGGGCUCGGGCGAACCGCAAGGGCCAAAACAAGCCAUAAACCGCCUCAAUAAAAAUGUAUCAAAUUAAGGAAUAAAUUUCAUGUGCAACAGCAA